rnacentral:rRNA from 1 species
GAGUUUGAUCGUGGCUCAGAACGAACGCUGGCGGCAUGCCUAACACAUGCAAGUCGAACCGCCCCGCGAAGGGGAGUGGCAGACGGGUGAGUAACGCGUGGGAAUCUACCCAGAUCUUCGGAACAACUGAGGGAAACUUCAGCUAAUACCGGAUACGCCCGUACGGGGGAAAGAUUUAUCGGUUCUGGAUGAGCCCGCGUUGGAUUAGCUAGUUGGUGGGGUAAUGGCCUACCAAGGCGACGAUCCAUAGCUGGUCUGAGAGGAUGAUCAGCCACACUGGGACUGAGACACGGCCCAGACUCCUACGGGAGGCAGCAGUGGGGAAUAUUGAACAAUGGGCGAAAGCCUGAUCCAGCCAUGCCGCGUGAGUGAUGAAGGCCGUUAGGGUUGUAAAGCUCUUUCAGUGGGAAGAUAAUGACGGUACCCACAGAAGAACGCCCCGGCUAACUUCGUGCCAGCAGCCGCA